rnacentral:rRNA from 1 species
GGCUAACUCCGUGCCAGCAGCCGCGGUAAUACGGAGGAUGCGAGCGUUAUCCGGAUUUAUUGGGUUUAAAGGGUGCGUAGGCGGCCUGUUAAGUCAGCGGUGAAAUCUAGGAGCUUAACUCCUAAAUUGCCGUUGAUACUGGCGGGCUUGAGUGUAGAUGAGGUAGGCGGAAUGCGUGGUGUAGCGGUGGAAUGCAUAGAUAUCACGCAGAACUCCAAUUGCGAAGGCAGCUUACUAAGGUACAACUGACGCUGAAGCACGAAAGCGUGGGUAUCAAACAGGAUUAGAUACCCUGGUAGUCCACGCAGUAAACGAUGAUAACUGGGCGUAUGCGAUAUACAGUAUGCUCCUAAGCGAAAGCGUUAAGUUAUCCACCUGGGGAGUACGCCGGCAACGGUGAAACUCAAAGGAAUUGACGGGGGCCCGCACAAGCGGAGGAACAUGUGGUUUAAUUCGAUGAUACGCGAGGAACCUUACCCGGGAUUGAAAUGUAGACGACGAGCGGUGAAAGUCGCUUUCCCUCCGGGGCGUCUAUGUAGGUGCUGCAUGGUUGUCGUCAGCUCGUGCCGUGAGGUGUCGGCUUAAGUGCCAUAACGAGCGCAACCCCUGUCUACGGUUGCCAUCAGGUAAUGCUGGGAACUCCGUAGAGACUGCCGUCGUAAGGCGUGAGGAAGGUGGGGAUGACGUCAAAUCAGCACGGCCCUUACAUCCGGGGCGACACACGUGUUACAAUGGUGGGGACAAAGGGCAGCUACCUGGCGACAGGAUGCGAAUCUCCAAACCCCAUCACAGUUCGGAUCGGAGUCUGCAACUCGACUCCGUGAAGCUGGAUUCGCUAGUAAUCGCGCAUCAGCCAUGGCGCGGUGAAUACGUUCCCGGGCCUUGUA